CCUCGUCUCUGGAAAUAUUCUCAAACUUUUUGCUCGUCUUCCAGAUAUUGUUCAGAGGAAUAGCCAUGAGAAUAACCAUCUUGUUUGGUCUGGUGGCCAUCGCAUCGGCCGAGGUAUUGCCUCCCACCUCCUAUGGAGCCCCGAACGGAGGGUUCUCGAACGGUUUUGGAGCUGCGAACGGAGCCUCAAACGGUUUCGGUGCCCCAAGUAAUGGCUACUCAGCACCAAGCAACUCCUAUGGACUGCCAAAUGGCGGAUACGGAGUAGACCCUGAGAUCGCCGCUCUCAGUGAGAACAUUCCAGGGGGCGGCGUCCCCGGCGAGGACUACCCCAUCUUGGCUUCCGUGCCCGACACCGGCUUCUCCUGCGAUGCCCAGCGGUGCAAGGUUAUUACGCCGACACUGCAGCUGAAGCCGGCUGCCAGGUGUUCCAUAUCUGCCAGGACCGCGCCCUCAGGCGCCAACAGGACUCCUUCCUGUGCCCCAACGGUACCAUCUUCAACCAGCAGUACCUGGUAUGUGACUGGUGGUUCAACGUGGACUGUUCUCAAGCUGAGAGCUUCUACUCCGUCAACGAGCUCAUCGGAGUCGUUCCCGACGCCGGUUAUGCUUAUGCUGCCGCCACCAACGGCAUCCUCAACGGAAACGGAAACGGAUAUGGAUCCAACGGCAACGGAGGGAAUGGAGCUAACGGAAGGAAUGGCAACGGAGCCACCAAUGGAAACGGAUAUCGCUCAAACGGCAACGGCAACGGUGCCAAUGGCUUCAACGGCAACGGCAGGAACGGCUACGCUGCUAAUGGCAACGGCAACGGAGUCUCCAAUGGCAACGGCAGGAACGGCUAUGGUUCUAAUGGCAACGGAGCGAACGGUGUCAAUGGAAAUGGUCUCAACGGCAAUGGAUAUGGAUCUAAUGGCAACGGUUUCGGAAGAAGCUCACUGAAUGGCAACGGCAACGGAUACAACGGGAAUGGUGCAAAUGGAAAUGGCAAUGGUGUUAAUGGCAAACUCAAUGGCAACGGCAAUGGCGUUAAUGGCAAUGGAAAUGGAUACAACGGCAAUGGUGUUAAUGGAAAUGGGAACGGAUACAAUGGCAAUGGUGCAAUUGGAAAUGGUAAUGGAAACGGUAAUGGCGUUAAUGGUAACGGUAACGGUGCUAAUGGUAAUGGAAACGGGUAUAACGGCAAUGGUGUAAAUGGAAAUGGCAAUGGUGUUAAUGGCAAACUCAACGGCAAUGGAAGAAGCGCCCUGAAUGGCAAUGGAAACGGGUACAAUGGUAAUGGCAAUGGUGUUAAUGGUAAUGGCAAUGGCAAUGGUAAUGGUAUUAAUGGCAAUGGAAACGGGUACAAUGGCAAUGGUGUUAAUGGUAAUGGCAACGGCAAUGGUGUUAAUGGUAAUGGAAACGGUAACGGUGCUAAUGGUAAUGGAAACGGGUAUAACGGCAAUGGUGUUAAUGGAAAUGGCAAUGGCAUUAACGGCAACGGAAGAAGCGCCCUGAAUGGCAAUGGAAACGGGUACAAUGGCAAUGGUGUUAAUGGUAAUGGCAACGGCAAUGGUAUUGGUAUUAAUGGCAAUGGAAACGGGUACAACGGCAACGGCAAUGGUGUAAAUGGAAAUGGCAACGGCAUUAACGGCAAACUCAACGGCAACGGAAGAAGCGCCCUGAAUGGCAACGGCAACGGCGCCUCCGCCCUGCCGUCCAGCUCCUACGGUGUCCCCAGCGCCCCCUUCUGAGUCCCGAGUGAAAGCGGCGUCCUCUUCCCCGGAAUCCUGAUUGGAUCUCUUUCAAAUAUGUAUAUUUUUGAUGCUCGGAAAGAUAUAUUUUUGCAAGAAUAAAUAUC